rnacentral:misc_RNA from 1 species
AAGUCGUAACAAGGUUUCCGUAGGUGAACCUGCGGAAGGAUCAUUACAUUCAGUAGCCUAGCUACUUGUUUAUACCCUUGUUUUUUGCGUACCUAUUGUUUCCUCGGUAGGCUUGCCUGCCGGUUGGACAACACUAUAACCUUUUUAAAUCUUCAAUCAGCGUCUGAAUUAUACAUAAUAAUUACAACUUUCAACAACGGAUCUCUUGGUUCUG